GUGAGGAAUCUUGCGCAAUGGGCGAAAGCCUGACGCAGCGACGCCGCGUGGAGGAUGAAGGUCUUCGGAUCGUAAACUCCUGUCGAGCGGGACGAAUCCCGGGAGGGUGAACAAUCCUCUCGGUUGACGGUACCGCUGGAGGAAGCCCCGGCUAACUCCGUGCCAGCAGCCGCGGUAAUACGGAGGGGGCCAGCGUUGUUCGGAAUCAUUGGGCGUAAAGGGCGCGUAGGCGGCCGAGCAAGUCGGAUGUGAAAUACCCCGGCUCAACUGGGGAAUUGCAUCUGAAACUGCUUGGCUUGAGUCCUGGAGAGGGUAGUGGAAUUCCCAGUGUAGCGGUGAAAUGCGUAGAUACUGGGAGGAACACCGGUGGCGAAGGCGGCUACCUGGACAGGUACUGACGCUGAGGCGCGAAAGCUAGGGGAGCAAACAGGAUUAGAUACCCUGGUAGUCC
rnacentral:rRNA from 1 species